AAAAAGGUAGUUUAAUUAAGAACGAUAGGUUGUGGGGCUAUUAGUGGUUUUUUUACCCUUUUUUA
rnacentral:tRNA from 1 species